rnacentral:rRNA from 1 species
UGUGUAGGUGGUCUAUUAAGUUUCAAAGCAAAUUUUAAACAUGGAGUUUAAACACUUUUUAAUACUAAUAGGCUAGAGUUUAUUAGAAGAUAGCUGAACAUUAAGUGUAAAGGUGAAAUUUUUCAAUAUUUAAAGGACAUGCACUAGGCGAAGGCUGCUAUCUAUUUUAAUACUGACACUGAGGCACAAAAGCAUAGGGAUCAAACA